ACGCUGGCGGCGUGCUUAACACAUGCAAGUCGAACGAUGAAGCCUAGCUUGCUAGGUGGAUUAGCGGCGAACGGGUGAGUAAUACGUGAGUAACCUACCUUUAACUCUGGGAUAAGCCUGGGAAACUGGGUCUAAUACCGGAUACGACCAAUCUCCGCAUGGGGUGUUGGUGGAAAGCGUUAUGUAGUGGUUAUAGAUGGGCUCACGGCCUAUCAGCUUGUUGGUGAGGUAACGGCUCACCAAGGCGACGACGGGUAGCCGGCCUGGGAGGGUGACCGGCCACACUGGGACUGAGACACGGCCCAGACUCCUACGGGAGGCAGCAGUGGGGAAUAUUGCACAAUGGGCGCAAGCCUGAUGCAGCGACGCCGCGUGAGGGAUGACGGCCUUCGGGUUGUAAACCUCUGUUAGCAGGGAAGAAGAGAAAUUGACGGUACCUGCAGAGAAAGCGCCGGCUAACUACGUGCCAGCAGCCGCGGUAAUACGUAGGGCGCGAGCGUUGUCCGGAAUUAUUGGGCGUAAAGAGCUUGUAGGCGGUUUGUCGCGUCUGCUGUGAAAGGCCGGGGCUUAACCCCGUGUAUUGCAGUGGGUACGGGCAGACUAGAGUGCAGUAGGGGAGACUGGAACUCCUGGUGUAGCGGUGGAGUGCGCAGAUAUCAGGAAGAACACCGAUGGCGAAGGCAGGUCUCUGGGCUGUAACUGACGCUGAGAAGCGAAAGCAUGGGGAGCGAACAGGAUUAGAUACCCUGGUAGUCCAUGCCGUAAACGUUGGGCACUAGGUGUGGGGGACAUUCCACGUUUUCCGCGCCGUAGCUAACGCAUUAAGUGCCCCGCCUGGGGAGUACGGCCGCAAGGCUAAAACUCAAAGAAAUUGACGGGGGCCCGCACAAGCGGCGGAGCAUGCGGAUUAAUUCGAUGCAACGCGAAGAA
rnacentral:rRNA from 1 species